rnacentral:lncRNA from 1 species
AAAAUAUAGAUAUAUUUAUUUGUCAUUAGCAAAAGGAAGUUCAACACUGAUAGAAGAUGCAAAUUUGUCCUUUCAUGCAUUUGUGGAGCAAAGUACUAACUUGUUCACUGUCUUUCCCUCACAAGGAGUUGAGCGCCUAGAUGACUAGGCUAAUCCUAAGAACCUACCUGGCCUUCUGAGAUACUCCCAUCAAAGAACAGGUGGAGUGUACUAAGUAUUUCUGAAAAUUCUAAACCGAAUCAAGAAAAGUGGCCUGACUGUGGGAAGACUGUUCAUCCAAACUGCCUUAUUCCCAUCAUGUUGAUUUGAGAGUUUCAUAAUAACCUUCCUGGAUACAUUCCCUGUGGCACGCAAGCAAACCUGGCUUUACGUUUUUAAUAGAGGAAUUUAUUGUUUUUAAAUGCAGACUGCAGAAUAGUUGUAGAAGUUGUUUGUUUUUCUUUUCCAAAAUGUAUCAGGUUCUAAGUCUGAAUAUGUGAUUCAUGUACAUCGUAAGGUUGACCCUAUGCUACAGGUAUUCUGUGCCUUAUUAAACAACUGCAGAGGGCCGGGCACAGUGGCUCAGGCCUGUAAUCCCAGCACUUUAGGAGGCCGAGGCAGGUGGAUCACCUGAGGUCAGGAGUUCAAGACUAGCCAGGCCAACAUGGUGAAACCUAUCUCUACUAACAAUACAAAAAUCAACCAGGUGCUGUGGCAGGCGCCUGUAAUCCCAGCUACUCGGGAGGUUAAGGCAGGAGAAUUACUUAAGCCUGGGAGGCAGAGGUUGCAGUGAGCUGAGAUUGCACCACUGCACUCCAGCCUGGGUGACAGAGUGAGACACCAUCUCAAAAAAAUAAAAAUAAAAAAUUUAAAAAAUAAAAUAAACAACUGCAGAGGGGAUGCUGACACCAGAAUGUUGUUAUAAAAUAUUCAUGCCAGAAACAAGAACAGAGCAGCAUUCAGCAAAAGAGGAGUUCCAAGUCCUUUCGCUGCUGGACGGUCCACACGCUCACCCAGAUCCUAUCAGACAGAAGACCCUCUGCACUCCCUAGCGGACCACCGCAACAGCCGUGUCCAGCCCAGCAGGCUGAAAUCAAAGUCUAGUUUACUGAAGAAAUCCCUUGGGUUUUAAGAUUCUGUUAACACAUGGUAACAAACAUUAAAUAAAAACUGAAAAAUGUGGUGUCGUGACAUUUAUCUUUAGGAAAAUAAACAGAUAUUCAGCAUCAUCCAUACAACUUGUCAUCUUUGCUCUGGAUCUCUGCUAUCAAGGGAAUGAAAUAUGUUUUAAAAACUGGAUAUAUAAUAGGUUCUAGCAAAAGGCUUAAAAACAAGCAAAACUGAGUGACAACUCUGGUAACAUGACACUGGAGCCCACUGCUUUACAGAGAAACAAAUUUCCCCGGCACCUGUAAGACACUAGUAUCAAACUACAUUUCCAGAGAGCGCUUUCCCAAAGUUAGGAUUCUGAAUAAUGCCAUUCUACAUAAAUACUACAUAGAUUUUAACAGAGAAAUGACUGCAUCCUCUGCUCUAUGGCCUGAGAAAAGGUGUUAAUUAGAAAAAGUUAAAAAGUGGUCCCUGGCCGGCGCCAGCCGGGCGCGGUGGCGCACGCCCAUAAUCCCAGCACUUUGGGAGGGACAAAAAGCAGUAAAUCCAAACUGGCCUUGGGUAACAUCUCAUCAAGCAGCACGUAGAAUCUGUACUAUAAUCAAAAGGGUUGAAUUUUAGGCCAGUUAUGUCAAGGCUGUUCAGCUCAUGCCUUGAAAUCACCUGCAUAGCCACGGUAAACUCAGCACCGCCAGACUCUCAGCUUGCAACAGAAGUGCCAAGCUCUCUACCUCGAAACAGGAUAAAGGAGGAUGGGGGCAAACAGCCUUUUAAUGUGUAUCACUCACAAUGUUAAGAAGGUAGAAAAAAGGUUUCUUUUUGAAAAUAAUUGUCUAAAAUCAAACAAAUAUGAAAAAUUAACAUAACUUGCAAGAAUAUAGAUCAAAAUGUUCAAUAGGACUGACUCAAGUUCACAAAAAACUAAAUGUCAAGUAAAUAGAUGAAUUUAAACUAAAGAUUAUAAAAUAAUGGCUAUUGAGAAUUAGUUUUCAACUGAUCUAAACAGUGUUUGAAAGUUUCAAUACUUUUAUCAGAACUUUAGCUAGAAACAGUCUGAAAGUAAAAAAAUUAUCAUUAGACUGCUCUCAAGGAUAAGUGCAAUCUCUUCAUGGUAAAAUAUCUUCAUUUAUAUUUUGUUAUAAAAAUAUACAAAAUACUACUUUUUACCUUUCCUUCACUCAGUAUAAACCCUUCUGGUUC